GACGAACGCUGGCGGCGUGCUUAACACAUGCAAGUCGAACGGAAAGGCCCCUUUGGGGGUACUCGAGUGGCGAACGGGUGCGUAACACGUGAGUAACCUGCCCUUGACUUCGGGAUAACUUCAGGAAACUGGGGCUAAUACCGGAUAGGAAUCCUUGCUGCAGGGUGGGGGUUGGAAAGCUUCGGCGGUUUUGGAUGGAUUCGCGGCCUAUCGGCUUGUUGGUGGGGUAGUGGCUUACCAAGGCUUUGACGGGUAGCCGGCCGGAGGGGGCGACCGGCCACAGUGGGUCUGAGGUACGGCCCAGACUCCUACGGGAGGCAGCAGUGGGGAAUAUUGCACAAUGGGCGGAAGCCGGAUGCAGCCACGCCGCGUGCGGGAUGACGGCCUUCGGGUUGUAAACCGCUUUCAGCAGGGGCGAAGCUUGUGGUGACGGUACCUGCAGAAGAAGCACCGGCUAACUACGUG
rnacentral:rRNA from 1 species